rnacentral:misc_RNA from 1 species
AAUUUCUUCAAAGCGUCUCUCUAUGCGCCCUAAUAUGAGAUCCAUCUAUUGCUCCCAUCAUUGCAAUGUUUUUUCUCUAUGGUCAAGGGCUCUAGCUCCCCGAUCACUGUUGCAAGAAUUAUUAUAAUCACUACCUCCAUCAAAUUAAGCCAUCUCAGUUGGGGCAAUUUCUUUACUCUGUUACCAUCUAAUGCAAUAGGAAAUUCUAAUAAAAUACACACUCAUACAUAAAUAAAGUGUUGAGAGAAAAAUAAAUCUUGUGUAAAUUAUAUUGACCGAAAACUAAGCUUUAGAUACAUGAAUUCUAGGGGUGUUUGUAUGGAGUUUAGAUUCCUAAACUAACUAGGAAAAUA